rnacentral:rRNA from 1 species
CGGUCAACGCGAACCGACCCACAUUGUUGCGGGAAGCUGUAGGGGGACGCAGGAAGGUAGAUGAACCCGGUGAAUGGUAGAACCGGGGUAAGCGUGUAGGAGGAGGACCAGGUAAAUCCGGGCCUCAUAAACUCUGAGACGUGAUACCGAGCCGCUUCAGGCGAAGUCAUUGAUCCUAUGCUGCCUAGAAAAGCCCAGCAGCGAGUUGACAUGGUGCCCGUACCCCAAACCAACACAGGUGGACAGGUAGAGCAUACCAAGGCGAGUGGGAUAACUAUGGUUAAGGAACUCGGCAAAUUGCCUCCGUAACUUCGGGAGAAGGAGGACCCCAGUAGCGUGAUGAGACUUGCUCUCUGAGCGUGAAGGGGUGGCACAAAAUUGAGGGAAGCGACUGUUUACCAAAAACACAGCAGCGUGCUAAGCCGUAAGGCGCUGUAUACGCUGUGACUCCUGCCCGGUGCUGGAAGGUUACGGGGAUGGGUUAGUCCUUCGGGACGAAGCUCUGAACCUAAGCCCCAGUAAACGGCGGCCGUAACUAUAACGGUCCUAAGGUAGCGAAAUUCCUUGUCGGGUAAGUUCCGACCUGCACGAAUGGAGUAACGACUUCCCUACUGUCUCAACCAUAGACCCAGCGAAAUUGAAGUACGAGUAAAGAUGCUCGUUAGCUGCAGAAGGACGGAAAGACCCCGUGGACCUUUACUAUAACUUGAUGUUGUGUUUUGUCAUAUGUUGUGUAGGAUAGGUGGGAGACUUGGAAGCAUGGACGCUAGUCUGUGUGGAGUCAUCGUUGAAAUACCACCCUGCAUAUGGUGAGGCUCUAACCUAGACCCGUUAUCCGGGUUGGGGACAGCGUCAGGCGGGUAGUUUAACUGGGGCGGUUGCCUCCUAAAGAGUAACGGAGGCGCCCAAAGGUUCCCUCAGCCUGGUUGGCAAUCAGGCGUUGAGUGCAAUGGCAAAAGGGAGCUUGACUGCGAGACCUACAAGUCGAGCAGGAGCGAAAGCUGGGCAUAGUGAUCCGGCGGUUGCGUGUGGAAGCGCCGUCGCUCAACGGAUAAAAGGUACCCCGGGGAUAACAGGCUAAUCUUGCCCAAGCGUCCAUAGCGACGGCAAGGUUAGGCACCUCGAUGUCGGCUCAUCGCAUCCUGGGGCUGAAGCAGGUCCCAAGGGUUGGGCUGUUCGCCCAUUAAAGCGGUACGCGAGCUGGGUUCAGAACGUCGUGAGACAGUUCGGUCCCUAUCCUCUGCAGCCGGAGGUGAAUUGAGGAAAGCUGUCCCUAGUACGAGAGGACCGGGACGGACGCAGCUCUCGUGUGCCAGUUGUCCUGCCAAGGGCAUGGCUGGUUAGCGACCUGCGGAAAGGAUAACCGCUAAAGCAUCUAAGCGGGAAGCCUCUUCCAAGAUGAAUUCACCCACAGGGUUAACCUGGUAAGGCCCGUGGUAGACCACCACGUUGAUAGGCCGGAAGUGUAAGCGUGGCAACACGUUCAGCUGACCGGUACUAAUCGGCCGAGGGCUUGA